UACGUAGGGUGCGAGCGUUGUCCGGAAUUAUUGGGCGUAAAGAGCUUGUAGGCGGUUUGUCGCGUCUGCUGUGAAAUCUCAAGGCUCAACCUUGAGCUUGCAGUGGGUACGGGCAGACUAGAGUGUGGUAGGGGAGACUGGAAUUCCUGGUGUAGCGGUGAAAUGCGCAGAUAUCAGGAGGGACACCGAUGGCGAAGGCAGGUCUCUGGGCCACUACUGACGCUGAGAAGCGGAAAGCAUGGGGAGCGAACAGG
rnacentral:rRNA from 1 species